AUGAACGCUGGCGGCGUGCCUAAUACAUGCAAGUCGAACGAGUUCUGAUUAUUGAAGGGUGCUUGCAUCUUGAUUUAAUUUUGAACGAGUGGCGGACGGGUGAGUAACACGUGGGUAACCUGCCCUUAAGUGGGGGAUAACAUUUGGAAACAGAUGCUAAUACCGCAUAAAUCCAAGAACCGCAUGGUUCUUGGCUGAAAGAUGGCGUAAGCUAUCGCUUUUGGAUGGACCCGCGGCGUAUUAGCUAGUUGGUGAGGUAACGGCUCACCAAGGCAAUGAUACGUAGCCGAACUGAGAGGUUGAUCGGCCACAUUGGGACUGAGACACGGCCCAAACUCCUACGGGAGGCAGCAGUAGGGAAUCUUCCACAAUGGACGCAAGUCUGAUGGAGCAACGCCGCGUGAGUGAAGAAGGCUUUCGGGUCGUAAAACUCUGUUGUUGGAGAAGAAUGGUCGGCAGAGUAACUGUUGUCGGCGUGACGGUAUCCAACCAGAAAGCCACGGCUAACUACGUGCCAGCAGCCGCGGUAAUACGUAGGUGGCAAGCGUUAUCCGGAUUUAUUGGGCGUAAAGCGAGCGCAGGCGGUUUUUUAAGUCUGAUGUGAAAGCCCUCGGCUUAACCGAGGAAGUGCAUCGGAAACUGGGAAACUUGAGUGCAGAAGAGGACAGUGGAACUCCAUGUGUAGCGGUGAAAUGCGUAGAUAUAUGGAAGAACACCAGUGGCGAAGGCGGCUGUCUGGUCUGUAACUGACGCUGAGGCUCGAAAGCAUGGGUAGCGAACAGGAUUAGAUACCCUGGUAGUCCAUGCCGUAAACGAUGAAUGCUAGGUGUUGGAGGGUUUCCGCCCUUCAGUGCCGCAGCUAACGCAUUAAGCAUUCCGCCUGGGGAGUACGACCGCAAGGUUGAAACUCAAAGGAAUUGACGGGGGCCCGCACAAGCGGUGGAGCAUGUGGUUUAAUUCGAAGCAACGCGAAGAACCUUACCAGGUCUUGACAUCUUUUGAUCACCUGAGAGAUCAGGUUUCCCCUUCGGGGGCAAAAUGACAGGUGGUGCAUGGUUGUCGUCAGCUCGUGUCGUGAGAUGUUGGGUUAAGUCCCGCAACGAGCGCAACCCUUAUGACUAGUUGCCAGCAUUUAGUUGGGCACUCUAGUAAGACUGCCGGUGACAAACCGGAGGAAGGUGGGAAUGACGUCAAAUCAUCAUGCCCCUUAUGACCUGGGCUACACACGUGCUACAAUGGAUGGUACAACGAGUUGCGAGACCGCGAGGUCAAGCUAAUCUCUUAAAGCCAUUCUCAGUUCGGACUGUAGGCUGCAACUCGCCUACACGAAGUCGGAAUCGCUAGUAAUCGCGGAUCAGCACGCCGCGGUGAAUACGUUCCCGGGCCUUGUACACACCGCCCGUCACACCAUGAGAGUUUGUAACACCCGAAGCCGGUGGCGUAACCCUUUUAGGGAGCGAGCCGUCUAAGGUGGGACAAAUGAUUAGGGUG
rnacentral:rRNA from 1 species